UGUGAUUACAGAUGUGUCACUAUACUCAC
rnacentral:piRNA from 1 species